rnacentral:rRNA from 1 species
CGAAGGGGCUAGCGUUGUUCGGAAUUACUGGGCGUAAAGCGCACGUAGGCGGGUAUUUAAGUCAGGGGUGAAAUCCCAGAGCUCAACUCUGGAACUGCCUUUGAUACUGGGUACCUAGAGUAUGGAAGAGGUGAGUGGAAUUCCGAGUGUAGAGGUGAAAUUCGUAGAUAUUCGGAGGAACACCAGUGGCGAAGGCGGCUCACUGGUCCAUUACUGACGCUGAGGUGCGAAAGCGUGGGGAGCAAACAGGAUU